rnacentral:rRNA from 1 species
UACGUAGGGGGCUAGCGUUGUCCGGAAUCAUUGGGCGUAAAGAGCGUGUAGGCGGCUCGGUAAGUCCGCUGUGAAAGUCGGGGGCUCAACCCUCGAAUGCCGGUGGAUACUGUCGAGCUAGAGUGCGGAAGAGGCGAGUGGAAUUCCUGGUGUAGCGGUGAAAUGCGCAGAUAUCAGGAGGAACACCAAUUGCGAAGGCAGCUCGCUGGGACGUUACUGACGCUGAGACGCGAAAGCGUGGGGAGCGAACAGG